AAAAAAAUGUAUAAACACAGAACGCCGUUAGCUUCAAGCUAAUUAUGUCAACUCGGUACGUGGAUCAUCACAGAUACAGAAUUUAGUUUAUCACAUUAAAACACACAGUCACAUCAAGCUACAAAGUAACCCCUGGCAGGUUUAUCACUUAUUUACCCACUUGCGAGCAUAGAUCAUUAUGAGGGUGUUCAAACCUGGUAAGGGGGAGAAUAAGUUAAGAACACAUGGACACCAGCUUUCCUCGGCUCCUGCGUGUAUUAACUGGAGCGAGGAAACGGGGCGCCUCGCUACACAGCUCAGUAGGGCCAAACUCCCCCUGCUGGCGCCCUCUGGCUACUGCAUUAAUUGCACUGAUUUUAUCUCAAACACCAACAAUCUUAUCAAUCAAAACCCCUUUUUAAAUAUGAUCUCAGCAUUUAAUUCCAUUUCUCAUUUGAGUUUCAUUUCAAUCCUCUACAAAUUAAGGUAGGUGGGUUAAAGCUAAGGUGCACUGUUAGC